UGUCCAAACUACGGCCUGCGGGUCAUUUACGGCCCAUUUUCUUUUUUGGAGCGGCCCGCAAGGUGUUUUAGAAAUAGAAUGAAAGUUGGCCCGCUGUUAAGCAGGUUUUUAUAAUGUGAGAUUCAAAGUUUGAACGCUAGGUGUCAGAAACGGGCCAAAGAGUCUAAAAGCGGAGAGAGUGCGCAUUUCUAGCGCAGAAAAACAGGGCAAAGAGUCUAAAAGCGGAGAGAGUGCGCAUUUCUAGCGCAGAAAAACAGGGCAAAGAGUCUAAAAGCGGAGAGAGUGCGCAUUUCUAGCGCAGAAAAACAGGGCAAAGAGUCUAAAAGCGGAGAGAGUGCGCAUUUCUAGCGCAGAAAAACGGGGCAAAAGAGUCUAAAAGCGGAGAGAGUGCGCAGUUCUAGCGCAGAAAAACGGGCCAAAGAGUCUAAAAGUUGCCGUAAUUAAGGAGUUUAAUAUUAAGAGACAUCAUGAAAUGAAACAUCAAUUUGAAAAAUCUUAGUUUACACAACACUGUCAAAGAUAGAUAAAGAUAUUAAAUCAAGUAAAAUGGUGUGUAAAUGAAAGUAAUCAGGAAAAAUGUAUUAUUUAAAGUGGUUUAUUUCAUUAUGUGUUUUAUUACAGAGUCUGUGGCCCGUGACUUCAAAUAUAUUUCUCCUUCUGGCCCCCAACAAAAAAAAAAUUUGGACACCCCUGACUUAGAAUAUGAGAAAGAGUAAGACACCCCAAAUUGUAUUUUUUGUCAGAUCUUGAUAUCUGUUACAUGUCUCUCUCUAUCGUUCUCUCUUUUUCCC